UGUUGAAUCACUGUAUCGUGCACCUGAAACUAACGUAACACUGUAUGUUAACUGUACUGGAAUUAAAACAAAGAGUACUCUACCUUCCUGAAGCUGUGACAAACCAUCCCACGUGGGCUCCUUCCUCCCCCUCCCCUGUGGGCAGCUGCCUCACUCCCAGCCUGGGCCACCCAACACAGGCAGUUCACACAGGAGCUGGACCCACACCUUGGCCUGCUCCUCCCGUGCCCCAGAUGGACUUAGGCGAAACAGGUUCCUCUUCUGGAAACGGGGCUAGGCGCCAAGCCUCACAGCCUCACCCACAGGAGCAGACGUACAAGGAACUCACGAAGACAUGCCAUUAGAUGGAGUCAGGCCAGGACACGAGGGGGCAGAGAUCCUGAGCAAGACUGGGGUACGACUUGCCUGAACACGCCUUUUCGCAUGCUGUUCCCCGUGCCUGGAAUGCUCUUCCCGAUUUUUCACCUUUCAGCUCGCAGACCUGCCUCGGGAAGCCUUCCCUGACUCCCUCCGUGUCCCCAAUCAGGCCUGCAGCCCCAACUUCUAAGAAGUUAUGUGUUGAAUACUCUCCCUUUCUCUUCCUGGACCUUAUUACAAUUUUGAAUGAUAUACUGAUUUA